rnacentral:rRNA from 1 species
UACAGAGGGUGCGAGCGUUAAUCGGAAUUACUGGGCGUAAAGCGCGCGUAGGCGGCUUUGCAAGUCGGGUGUGAAAUCCCCAGGCUUAACCUGGGAACUGCAUUCGAGACUGCAUUGCUAGAGUAUGGGAGAGGGCAGUGGAAUUUCCGGUGUAGCGGUGAAAUGCGUAGAUAUCGGAAGGAACAUCAGUGGCGAAAGCGACUGCCUGGACCAAUACUGACUGCUCAGUGUGCGAAAGCGU